AAUUUUGGACUAUGGGCGCAAGCCUGAUCCAGCCAUGCCGCUUGAGUGAAGAAGGCCUUCGGGAUUUAAAGCUCUUUCGGACGGAAAGAAAUCGCGCAGUCUAAUACCCAUCGCGGAUGCCGUUACUGUCCUAAGAAGCACCGGUUAACUACGUUCCAGCACCCGCGGUAAUACGUAGGGUGCGUGCGUUAAUCGGAAUUACUGGGCGUAAAGCGUGCGCAGGCGGUUGAUUAAGACAGGCGUGAAAUCCCCGGGCUUAACCUGGGAACUGCGCUUGUGACUGGUCAGCUAGAGUACGGCAGAGGGGGGUGGAAUUCCACGUGUAGCAGUGAAAUGCGUAGAGAUGUGGAGGAACACCGAUGGCGAAGGCAGCCCCCUGGGCCGAUACUGACGCUCAUGCACGAAAGCGUGGGUAGCAAACAGG
rnacentral:rRNA from 1 species